GGCAACGUUUUUGGGCUUAUGAAAAUCAUUAAAAGAAUUCAAACACAAAGUAACGUUGUGCGAUCCUUCUUCAAUUGACUUUCGAACACCUGGUACCGCUUCUUUAAAAAUGUCCACAUUCGAUUGUGAGCACUGUUGGUUCAUGGGGAACCUUUUUAGCCACUAUCAAAAUGAUGAGAUAAUAAGAAUAAGCUUUUACCAAUUUCUGCCAAUAACACAGGAGGGUGUUAAGAUGUUCAAACGCCAAAUAAACACAUUGCAAUGUAUCGAGUCUACAUUAACCACGCAUGCUCUCUGGCAAACAGUACAAAGGCUAUGCAAAUAUCAAAGCAUUAAUAGCUCAGGUUGAGCAGUAAUAUCUACGACUUUGUACUGUUUGCCUUCUGGCGUUCUCUGGUUUAACACUGGUGAGACGAUGCCACAAAGAAGACCAAUCAGUUUCAAAGACAAUGAACAUAUUAUCAUCAGAUCAUGUUGGUUUGCACGUUGUUUUUCCCUACAAGUACGUGUGGCUAAUGCAGACUUGAUGCUUUGCAAAUGGGUGUCUAUUCUGGUGUUUUCUUAACAUCUUAUUGCCAGAAAGGGUUGAAGCCUAUUGUUAUUAUUCCAUCACUAUUGCAUCAUUUGGUCGACAUAAAGGUUCAUAAUUGCUUUAAAGGUUGGAUGUGUCUGUUUAGAAAUGCGUGUGGUAAUACCCAGCUACCCAGCUUGCCUCGAGGGGUAAAUAUUACAGUGCACGAGACGUGAGUGCUGCGCUAUCAGUGCCAACACUAUGCAUCCUGCACACACACACACGCAGACAAUAUCCGAUUAUGGUUUACACAACAUGGUAAAUAAUUCUACUUGCUGCUGUUCGGUUGGAGGUGGGUGGGUGGGGGAGCCGGAGGUGAGAGUUUUGUGCAAGAAAUAUCAUGAACGUUUUUACUGGACGAGUUAACAUCUCCUAGCCACCGUGGCACUUCUGCAUCCGGCACGCCACAUCAAGUAUACCCCCACCGUUGCUGCCACCGCUGCUGCCAUACCCACGUGAGCCUGGCACAGAGGCUACCUCGGCGAACAGCGGCGUGGUGUUAUCAUGCGGCGAUGGUUUUUAUACAGCCGUGUGGAGGGAGAGAGAGGGGAGCCCGCGAGCUGGCUUUUCGAGUUGGGCAACCUCUGUGCCGUGCGUGCGUGCUGCUGGCACGAGCGAAAUGCAACGCAGUGUCACGAGAAAGUGAGAUGGGAGUGAGGCAUGGGUGACAAGUGGUGAUGCAGGAUGCAAGAAGCAUCGCUUGGCUGCUGUGGACUUUCAAAGGUCAGCUGACAUAAUUCGCCAGACAAGACCCCAGCGUGUGCCGACAUCGUCUUCCAACUUCUGCGACAUUCUAAAAUGACAUCGCAAGUUACUCAAUUGGGAUUAUACACACACACAGCAGCAGCAGUGAUCACCACCGCCUACUGCCAGGCUAAUGACCCAGGUCACUCCUGCAAACGAGAUGUAUCAUGAGUCAUCUAUCAUCUGGUUAAACAAAAUUAACUUAUGCCUGUCCUGGUCAAGUCCUUUAUCAGACGUGGCAUCUCCUCGUUGGGAAUCGCUGUCGAGUACAGUACCGCAAGCUUUAAUCGUGACCUCAAUAGUGGCCACAUGAGACCUGGAGACACAUCCGAGCCUGUAGGGGAACGUGCAGAGGUCACGCCAAUUCCCCCAUGGGGUUCAGCUGCCUCUUGGAGAGGGCCGACGGUGGCAGGUGCGAGACAAGGCAAGUGGCUUCAUCUUGACUUGAAGCUUUCGUGACUGCAGGAAUGCAUAUUAUUUUGGGUCUUUCGGUAAAGUCACGUAGAUAAGGUAAAAAAAAAUACAAUCAUAAAAAUAAACAAAAAAAACAGUUUCCACCUGAUGACGAUCGCUUGCGUUGCGAUCGAAAUGUCGUAGGUUUUUUUGUUUAUUUCUUAAUUAUUUUUUUAACCUAUCUACUUGACUUUAUCGAAAGAGCCAAAGAAUAAUUAAGUGGCUCUUCCAAUGACCCACCCACAUCUUAUAGUUUCAUGCACCUACGAAUGCGUGGCAUGCAUGCAUUUUAUUUAUAAUUGUUAUUUAUUUAUACUUAUUAGUCGCAUUGCAGUUAUCAAAAGGCUAAUUUGCAAAACGGACCAGUUUUUUUAUUUGCUGUGGAUGUACUGUAUAUGCAAUGCUGCCCACUUGUGAUAAUGUUAAACGGAGAGUCUGGAAGUAAUUGAGUUUGGCGGCUGUGUGUGUAACAGACAUUGCAUAGUUUAAUUCUGUAGAUACACAAUAAGCCCACACAUAUAACGCUCGCUGGCACUGUGCUCUUGUUAAAACCAGUAUUUGCAGUUAUUUGAGAAUCCCACUGUACUCGAUUGUAUGUAAACAAUGAUCUCUCUCUUAAAAAUAACUCACCCUUCUAUUCUGUGACGAAUAUAAAAAAAACGGGUUAUGGAGGUGAUUACAGUAUGUGAAAAUAAAAAUUAUGGCCAUCGUAAACCUAAACAUGCGACCAUCUGCUGCAGUGACACGAUAUUUAUCUACCGAUCUAUUAUUAAAACCAAAUUACAUGAGUUGGAGAGCUUGGGCCGCCUGCAAUAAUAAGAAAGCAAACUCAUUGCAAAAGAAGUGGACUGCAAGCCCUUUUCUUUUAUGCACUAAAAUCUUUAGAGAAUAGAUUUCAGUUGGAUGGUUUAAUUGAAAACGUUAAAUAACGAACGCAACUCUCGUGAUUUUUUUGUAGGCGCACAUUUAUUGAAGCCUUGACCUCCAUACACUGUAUAUGCCAAGGGGAUGCAGUGUGCAUUGCGCUAUGCACCCGGAGACCUGCAUUCGAUUCCCCGACCACAGCUAAUACCAGUGGCGAGUGAUGUUCCACGGUGGCUAGGAGAUGUUAACUACCCCGCCUAGUAUGCAG